rnacentral:rRNA from 1 species
CCUACGGGAGGCAGCAGUGAGGAAUAUUGGUCAAUGGGCGGGAGCCUGAACCAGCCAAGUCGCGUGAGGGAAGACGGUCCUAUGGAUUGUAAACCUCUGUAGGCGGGGAGCAAUGCCGGGCACGUGUGCACGGAGGGAGAGGACCCGCAGAAUAAGCAUCGGCUAACUACGUGACAGCAGCCGCGGUAAUACGGAGGAUGCGAGCGUUAUCCGGAUUUCUUGGGGUUAAAGGGUGCGUAGGCGGUGCGCCAAGUCUGGUGUGAAUGGCCGCAGCUUAACUGCGGAACUGCUUUGGAUACUGGCGAACUAGAGUGCGGGAGGGGUAGGCGGAAUUCCUAGUGUAGCGGUGAAAUGCGUAGAUAGUAGGAGGAACACCGGUGGCGAAGGCGGCUUACUGGACCGUAACUGACGUUGAGGCUCGAAAGCGUGGGGAGCAAACAGGAUUAGAUACCCGGGUAGUC